CCUACGGGAGGCAGCAGUGAGGAAUAUUGGUCAAUGGGCGCGAGCCUGAACCAGCCAAGUCGCGUGAGGGAAGACGGUCCUAUGGAUUGUAAACCUCUUUUGUCGGGGAGCAAAAGACGCCACGCGUGGCGUUCCGAGAGUACCCGAAGAAAAAGCAUCGGCUAACUCCGUGCCAGCAGCCGCGGUAAUACGGAGGAUGCGAGCGUUAUCCGGCUUUAUUGGGUUUAAAGGGUGCGAAGGCGGAAGAUCAAGUCAGCGGUAAAAUUUAGAGGUUCAACCUCUUCGGGCCGUUGAAACUGGUUGUCUUGAGUGUGUGAGAGGUAUGCGGAAUGCGUGGUGUAGCGGUGAAAUGCAUAGAUAUCACGCAGAACUCCGAUUGCGAAGGCAGCAUACCGGCGCUCAACUGACGCUCAUGCACGAAAGUGUGGGUAUCGAACAGGAUUAGAUACCCGGGUAGUC
rnacentral:rRNA from 1 species